rnacentral:rRNA from 1 species
GAUGAACGCUGGCGGCGUGCUUAACACAUGCAAGCCGAACGAAGCAUUGUGACUUGAUUUCUUCGGAUUGAUUGUUACUAUGACUGAGUGGCGGACGGGUGAGUAACGCGUGGGUAACCUGCCUCAUACAGGGGGAUAACAGUUGGAAACGACUGCUAAUACCGCAUAAGCGCACGGUACCGCAUGGUACAGUGUGAAAAACUCCGGUGGUAUGAGAUGGACCCGCGUCUGAUUAGCUAGUUGGUGGGGUAACGGCCCACCAAGGCGACGAUCAGUAGCCGACCUGAGAGGGUGACCGGCCACAUUGGGACUGAGACACGGCCCAAACUCCUACGGGAGGCAGCAGUGGGGAAUAUUGCACAAUGGGCGAAAGCCUGAUGCAGCGACGCCGCGUGAAUGAAGAAGUAUUUCGGUAUGUAAAGUUCUAUCAGCAGGGAAGAAAAUGACGGUACCUGACUAAGAAGCACCGGCUAAAUACGUGCCAGCCGCCGCGGUAAAAC